AGAGUUUGAUCAUGGCUCAGAACGAACGCUGGCGGCAGGCCUCAAACAUGCAAGUCUAGGGGGUGUAGCAAUACAUCACCGGCGGACGGGUGCGUAACACGUGGGAAUAUACCUUUUGGUUCGGAACAACGCAGGGAAACUUGCGCUAAUACCGAAUGUGCCCUUACGGGGAAAGAUUUAUCGCCAAAGGAUUAGCCCGCGUCCGAUUAGCUAGUUGGUGAGGUAACGGCUCACCAAGGCUCCGAUCGGUAGCUGUUCUGAGAGGAAGAUCAGCCACACUGGGACUGAGACACGGCCCAGACUCCUACGGGAGGCAGCAGUUGGGAAUCUUGGACAAUGGGGGAAACCCUGAUCCAGCCAUGCCGCGUGAGUGAUGAAGGCCUUCGGGUUGUAAAACUCUUUCGACGGGGACGAUAAUGACGGUACCCGUAGAAGAAGCUCCGGCUAACUUCGUGCCAGCAGCCGCGGUAAUACGAAGGGGGCUAGCGUUGUUCGGAAUUACUGGGCGUAAAGCGCGCGCAGGCGGUUUUUCAAGUCAGUGGUGAAAGCCCGGAGCUCAACUCCGGAACUGCCAUUGAAACUGUAAAACUUGAGGACGAGAGAGGUGAGUGGAAUUCCCAGUGUAGAGGUGAAAUUCGUAGAUAUUGGGAAGAACACCGGUGGCGAAGGCGGCUCACUGGCUCGUAUCUGACGCUCAGGCGCGACAGCGUGGGGAUCAAACAGGAUUAGAUACCCUAGUAGUCC
rnacentral:rRNA from 1 species